UUACCCAUUAAAACAUGUUUUCUACGAGGGCUCCUUCUUUACAAUCAAAUCAUCAAAAAAUCAAAGGUUGGACUGGUUUUAUAUCAAUUGCAUAAUUUUAAUGGCAAAACAUACUUGUUGACGUACACCGAUCAGACAAUAUUUGCUCAGAUUGGGGAAUCAGCAAACAUACUGUCAGUGUAGAACUUAACAUCAAUAGUAAAACCUCAAGAUAAUAGUCUAUAUUGAAGGACUUAUAACGACAGUUCUCGUUAAUCCUAUUAAAAUUUCCCAUAGUAUAAAUGUAUUUUUCUUUCCAAGUAAUAACGUUGUGGUGCACUUGGAUUUGAUUUACCAACUAUUUCAACAAACAAUAAUGGAAAAAAAAGUUGUUUUUCACGAAAAACUUGGGCAGUAUUCCAGAUCCAAUCUUGUUGCAAUGAUGUUAAGAACUGAACGCAGUGCUACUGUAUGUAGUAAAGACGGUUUUCUGUCUUGUGCAUAAAGCACAUAGGGAGGUACUCCAUACCAUGAUCAGUGGCGUGGCGUGAAUUGCGAUGUAUCGAUUGUUAUGACAUUUAAACCUAUGGUAUAGAAUCAAUUAUUAAGGUGUUCGCUGCGAACAUCCUGUUUAUCGAUCCUUUUCCAUAGGUUUAAAUGGCAUAACAAUCGAUUUAUCAAAACUCACGUGACGCCACUGACCAUGAUGUCUCACCAACCAGGUACUUCGCCAGGAACACCGAACAUCCAGAAUGUAAAGUUGCUCUUAAUGUUAGCACCAAGUGGAAUGUGAAACGGUAGUGUUUUUAGUUUUUCAAAUUUCGUUCCUAAACCUAUCUCUCUAAUUGUUUGUUUUUCUCUUAUCUUUUAUAGCAAAGAAAGUAAAAGGAAAAGAAGAAGUAUCACCGGAAAAAAAGAAUGCUCUAGAAAAUAAACUACCUGCUGCGCAAGCAAGCAAAAAACCAAAAAAAGAAAAUAAACAAGUUUCAAAUAAUCUAGGAAGGUUUGAUAAUGAAUCUAGCAGUUCAGACUCCUCGUCCUCCAGUGCCAGUUCAUCCUCAUCAGAUACUAGUGACUCGGAAGGAGGCCAUGAUGGGCACCUAAAGAAGAAGAGUGUAAAGAAGACGAACCAAGUUAAUAAAACUGGUGCUGAAACGAGGUCCGUCCCAACGCUCACGAUGAACACAGCCACUGGCGGAAUUAUUAAUAAACCGCAAAUACCUCCCCCUGUAACCGUAGCAACUCCUGUAACUUCCAGUGUUCUUCCUCCAACAACAACUCCACAACAAACACCUGGUAAUUUUCUUACAUUUAUUUAGAUUUGGUUGAACUUUGCUCUUAACAUUUUAUUGUUGCUCAUUCCCUGACUAGAAACUAAGAUAAAUUUUGUCCGCUUAAAGUGAUUCAAGUUUAAACAGUAUCAGUGAAAAAUUUAAGAAAAUCGCGGAAAGUAUAAUAUUUAGCCAUACCUUUGUUAAUGUCAUAGUAACUUCAAGUUCGGAAGUAUCUCAUUAUUUUUUACUGAACUAUUAGUUGCCACCAUGAUCAAAUGACAAGUGAAAUAGGGGAACCAUUGGUUAAAAUGCAUUACAGAGAAGUAUUCUUGUGGGAAUUUUAAAAUAUUGUACCUUCAUGGAACCUCUAAAAAUUGAAAUUCGUAACUUUAAAAAAGAAGGGAUUUCCGCAGGAUGAUUAGGAAUCCCAAUUUUUCUCUACCUGUUCUUGAAUUUUAAAAAAGCGCCAAAAGGAGUCAUCCUGGGAAACAUUUCAGGGUAUUGAAGUAAAUAAGACAAUCAAAGAAAGUGCUCAUUGAUGUUCUGAAUUUUCAUCCUCAAGUGGGACUCGAGUAGGUUCACCGGUUUAGGAGCCUUUUUUUCAUUACAAUUUUAAACUGAGCUCGAUUAUUAUUAAUUAACUUUUUUCAGCUGCGCCAGCUGUGAAGAAAGCAGUAUCUGUGAUCGCAAGUCGGCAAGAUCAGCCAGAUGUUAAACCGGCCGUUGUUGAGCCCCCAACUGUCCCUCAAUUUACUCCAGCGGUAGUGAAAGUGGAAGCAGGUAAAAUUUCAGGACACUCACUUUUUUUUCUUUUAUGUAAUUAUUUCCAUUUCCAAUGCCCAAGUACUGUUGAUUUCAUGGUGAAUGGUCUCACAAAAGCAGGAAGCAAAAAUCUUGAAAAAUAAGAUGUACAUGUUCAAAGAGUUCAGGAAGUUUGCUGUAUUACAUAGUCAAGGGGAAGUACUUCAAAAGUACGGACAUGUAUAAAUGAUCUGGAUCUUUUUUGCCAUGCUUUGAUAAAAGUGAUCACCUUAGAGUUAACCAACAAGGAACUCCAAGAAUGCGUCAUAAUGAAUUGCCUGAGCAUAGUCUGCCGGGUCAGCCAUUCUGUUUUUUUUUUUUUUAAUUUUAUUUGCUCAAAAAAAUACAUAACAAUUGCACAGAGAAUGCAUUUAGACAUAUUAAGUCUUUAAAAUGCUUAAUUUUAGUUUAGCUUAAAUUAUACUAGCUAUUAACUAAGAUUUAACAUAAUGUAUACUACCUAAAAAUUAACUGGAGUAAAGAUAAAACAUAUUUAUUAUAAAAUAAAUAUGUCUUUUCAUUUUAACUGAAUUACGACGGACUGACCCGUCCAAAAGUCAAGUGUCUCCUGACAAGUCCAUAGAGCAAUAGAAGGCGCUCAAAUAUUUUAUUUAUUGGCCAUUCUGUGAGAUGCACAUUAGAUAGUUCAGAUGAUAGCCAUCAAAUGGUGAUGAACUGCAUUGCUCCUUUACUUCAGGCUUGAAUUGAUUAUUUGAUAGAUUCAUUCCUACGGUCUUGAAAAGCCUUUAUUAUCAAUCAGUUCUAAGUCAGCUAAAUUUUCCAAAUCUAUAUGCAACCAAUAAAUUAACCUGCUGUAGUACUUAGUAGCUCGUCAAUGACUGGGGAGCAUAUGACAAAAAGCUAUUUACAGAUUGAUGUUGUCAUCAAAACUUGUUACCAUCAACAGGAAAAGAGACGUUAGCUGAGUUUUGGAAUUUAACAAAGCUGAUAAUCAAAAUAUUUUCUAACUGUGAUGAUUUUUUAUUCCGGCAAAACAGUAAUCUGCUCGAGUCGGCAAAAUCACUCGUUCCGCGCGGGCUAAAAAUCAAUUUUAUUCAUCCUACAAGCAUUAACUUUCUCGUUAUUUUACAGAAUCCACUGGAUUGGCACCAAGUAAAACAGAAGUCAAACCUCCAGUACUGCAACACAAUACUGCACCUGUAGUUCCAAAUAUCACCUCAACAGAGCCUCCAGUUCCCAUUCCCAGCGUGGUGGCAGUCCCGAAAACGGAGGUUGAGUCGCCCUCCACAACUCAGUCAU
rnacentral:lncRNA from 1 species